UGGGGACUCAACCGUGUUCUUCAGUCUGGUCUUGCAUCCUCUCUUCCCAGCUGAGAAGCCUGAGGCCCCGAGUAGAUCAGAUAAACCGGGGAAGACUUCUACCUGAAAUGGUCUGAUUCACGGUUCAGAGGGGGAACAAGUCUAAAUUUGAGACGUGCUUCCACACUAUUCUUUCUCAAACUUUAAAGUGAACAUACUUCCUUGCUUGCAAUCUGUUGAUGGAUCUCUUCUGCCUACAAUAUAUACUACAAACCCCUUAGUCUGGCACACAAGGCCCUGUGUGACCAGCUCCCAUUUCUUUUUCUAGCUUCCCCAACCCCAAAUGCCUUACUAAAAGAACUUUUUUCUCUAAUGCAUUAGGCUGUUUCAUACCUUUGCUCAGAUUAUUCCCUCUCAGCCAGAUCC
rnacentral:lncRNA from 10 species